rnacentral:rRNA from 1 species
GGACCCGCACAAGCGGUGGAGUAUGUGGUUUAAUUCGAUGCAACGCGAAGAACCUUACCAGGGUUUGACAUCCUGCGAAUCUCUUGGAAACUUGAGAGUGCCUUCGGGAACGCAGUGACAGGUGGUGCAUGGCUGUCGUCAGCUCGUGUCGUGAGAUGUUGGGUUAAGUCCCGCAACGAGCGCAACCCACGUCUUUAGUUGCCAGCAUUUAGUUGGGCACUCUAGAGAGACUGCCGGUGAUAAACCGGAGGAAGGUGUGAUGACGUCAAGUCAUCAUGCCCCUUACAUCCUGGGCUACACACGUACUACAAUGCUACGGACAAAGGGCUGCAAGUUCGCGAGGACAAGCAAA